rnacentral:rRNA from 1 species
CCUACGGGAGGCAGCAGUGGGGAAUAUUGGGCAAUGGGCGCAAGCCUGACCCAGCAACGCCGCGUGAAGGAAGAAGGCCCUCGGGUUGUAAACUUCUUUUAUUCGGGACGAAACAAAUGACGGUACCGAAUGACUAAGCCACGGCUAACUACGUGCCAGCAGCCGCGGUAAUACGUAGGUGGCAAGCGUUAUCCGGAUUUACUGGGUGUAAAGGGCGGGUAGGCGGGAGAGCAAGUCAGACGUGAAAUUCCAGGGCUCAACCCUGGAACUGCGUUUGAAACUGUUCUUCUUGAGUGAUGGAGAGGCAGGCGGAAUUCCGUGUGUAGCGGUGAAAUGCGUAGAUAUACGGAGGAACACCAGUGGCGAAGGCGGCCUGCUGGACAUUAACUGACGCUGAGGCGCGAAAGCGUGGGGAGCAAACAGGAUUAGAUACCCGUGUAGUC